CAAGUGAUUCAAUGGAGAAUUUUGCUGCCCCAGUUGUUUCAAAAGAAAGUGCAGUGAGUUAGCAUGCCGGUUUCUGAAAUAAAAAUGUGGGAAUGUGGGAUGAUACUGAGACUCAAACUGCUAUCCGUGCUGCAGCCUUGGGUUAAAUGCUAACAUGCUGACACGCACAGGGCCAGAAGGUCUCAAGAUCCUGUGUCCUUGAUGAUGGUAGCUAUGGAACCGUGAGCCUCUGGAUGUCUUGCUAGACAAGCCACAGUGUCCUCUGUUGCCAUGGGUAGGCAGAGCAUGGACAUAUCAUCAGCAUGAAAUCAGCGCCAGGAGGAGAGAUGUUCUGGAUUCUUGUGAUGAUGUGAUGACACAAAGAAGCCUUUGAGGAGGUGAUACAAUGGUUGUAGGCACAGGACUUGAAUGCAGAGAUGUACAGCUGGAAAGGCUUUCAAUUAAAGGUUCAGGGGAAAGCACUGACUAUGUAUUAAUUCCUAUAAGUUUCUGAAGUUCCUUUAGACUCCUGGUCAAGAUGGCCGCCUGAGAUCAUUGGUGCACCCCUUUCUGCUCUAACAAUAAAGCAUAGAAAGGCACAGAUGUGCUCAAGAGCUGGAAAGGAAGAUCUCCAGACACCAGAAACAGGAAGCAGAGGUGGAUCAGAAGAAGACCUGGGGCCUCUGGAUAAAGGCAUCGAGCGCUGAAGCUUAAUUUGGAUAUCAGCAAAUUGAAACUCAAGCUCAUCCAUCUUUUCUGGAAUUUUGAACAUAUUCUGAUUUGUAGAGCGUUUGGAAAAAACUAAGUCACAAUUUAUUUUUUUAUCUCGGAAGAAAACUAUCAGAAUUCAAGUUCUCGGGGCAUCAACUGUGUUCACUGAUCUCUGAACUUGUACCACCAAGCACAAAGCCUGGUGUGCCGCGGCUACUCAUUCUGACAUCCCUCCACUAUGAAGAAAACUCCUUGCCUUCCCCUCAUGAUCUCAAGAUGGCUGCCUGUGCUCCAAACCUCAUGUCAUCACGUGAUAGCAUGCCAGCGAGCAGGAGGAGCUGGUGCACAAGGCUUUCUCUUCCAUGUGUCUCUUUUGUCACAAGGAAAUCAGUCCUAGGAAUCUGGAACAGGCUUCUUUCACCGCUCUGCAGGACCGGAGAGUCCCUUUCAGAGUGCUGGGAUUACAGGCAUGUGCUACCACAGCUGGCUCUCCUUGUUGAAUCCUUGAGAUCCUGGCUCAGAAUAUGGCCCACAGCAGACCGUGCGGGUUCAUUGAAGAGACGCAGGAAACUCUGCAGCCGUGACCUCGGCUAGCUGCUGCUGUCCCCUCAUCGCCCAACAUUUCGCACUGCCACAUCCCAGGAGGGCACUGUAGAUGGCCACCUCCCCUUUUCAUCGAGGGCCUUACUUCAGGGAACAAGAACCAAACUAGCGGUUUUGUUCGGACUCUGUGGUAACAGCCGGCCUCCCGUUUUCCCCUUUUUUGAAAGCACCUGGCCCACAUCUGCGUAUGCUGGGAAGCAUCUCCCGGGAGCACCUUGCCCGGUGGGAUCUGUAAAUGUGUCAGGGUCUGUUCCACAGGCUGGCUCUUCCCCAGUCUCUAAGACAGUCAUGACAAAGGCCAAGAAAUGCCACAUGCAGAGCCUGGCGCUGUAACUGUGCCUAGGGGAGCAGGAGUGACUGGUCUUUUGGGCAAGACACAAUCAGCUCUGCUGAGAGGUUAUGCAGGAAGGAGGAGCCGAUCUCUUCCGUCCUGGCUGGGAAGCUUGGGUGGCGCCCCUUGGAGGACACGGGGUUUGCUGGGAGGAAUGCACCUUGGUCGUGAGAGAAGAUGUCCCUCCACUCUGUGCCCAUCACUCCAGGCCAGAGGCAGAAACUAUGAAGAAAACAGCAGGAGUUUUCUUCUGCCACAAGAGUCAAGCACAGCUGUCAAUGGAUGAGGAUGUGGCUCAGCGGUAGCGCGGUACCGGGCGCCCACAAGGUCCUGGGUUCCAGCCCGAGCAUCACAAAAACUAGAAACAAAGCAAAACCAAAAAACAGCUGUUGAUAAAAGAGGUGAAGUAAUUGUGAAGAUUUUAAUCAGGAUCCAAGUGAAUAUCAGUAGUCAAGAGGAAGGGAACAGGAAUCAACACAUCACUUCUUAUUGCUGGGAGCAGCAGGUUAUGGACCCCAUCCUGUGAUGUAUCAAAUGUGUUUAAUACCCUCAGACUCUCUUGAUAUUUGCCUGCACACCCAGGUGGGUGCUGUGGGAUUCCUCCAGGUGGCAGUGGCUGGCCUGGAGUCACUUCUGCAGGAAGGCGGCUCUCCCUGGAAAAUAGCUGAUCUACAUUUCUGCAGGAUCAAUGCUGUGGAGACUGCAUAAAUUGGUCUCAGCAAAACACAAGAAUUAAAAGAUAUUGAGUGCAGUGGCAGCUGGCCUGAGACCCGUGUGAAUGGGUUAGAUUUCACGUGACGGUUUUCUCUCAGAUAGGUUCUUCCCACCAUCUCUUCAGCAAUUCUGUUUUCAUUAUCUCCCAGACGGUCUGUAGAGGCCAGUCACUAUGAAAAAAUGGAACAGAAAGUAGACGAGAGCACAAAGAAAUAAAUACUAUCCCAUGAGCUUUGGGCAAUGCUAGUC